AUGGGGGUCCCGGUGGGGGCCGAGGGCGGCUGUCUUCGGGGAGGCCGGAGAUGGCGGGUGGGCGCCCUCCGCCUCUGCCCACGUGUGGAAGGCGGUCGGUGGGGGAGGGGCCGGGAGAAGUGCCUGGGCACCUGGCCUGUCUCGCGUGUGCUGUGGGUCCUGGGUCCUCGCACAGGCCACUUAAAUGUGCACGAUUCCGCGUGCGCGCCUGGGUGUGCCAGCGAGCGCGGCAGGCCGGCGGCAGCCCGAGCACGUGCCUUCCACGAGUUAUGUCCCCUCGUGCCCACAGCCACCGUAUGGGGCUCGACCUCCAGCUCCAGGCCACCAGCCGCAUGUGGCCACUCAACACCUGAACCCUGGGAGUCUGAACUGAGAUGUGCUUUCGUGUAAAAUACUCAUGCGUUUUCAUGGACUCACGAAGUUUAAAGAAUAGUAAACAUUAUUACCAUCCCAAGUUCACGGCUUGGAAAAGGAGGCUCAAAGAGUUGACCAGCCACCAGCCACAAAGCCACAAAGCCACAAUGCCACAAAGUGAAGGCAUCUAGCUUCCUUCUACAAAGAGAAAGCCCAGGGCUUGGCUGCACCUUCUCACCACCGCUACCCCCAGCUUCCAUUCCCUGGGCUCUUCACGACCAGCUGGAGCCUUCCAGAACCUCUCGAGGGAGCAGCUCUGCUCCAGGUAACUCUGUGAUUACACGGUUCCACAAAGAUUUUCUGGAGAUUCCUGCGUCUUGGCCUUCGUUGUUUCAUUCAAGGUGGGGAUUUGGGGCCAAGUAGAAGCCGAAGAUGAGACCUGAAAGGGAUGGUACUGGGGACAAGGGGACCCUAACAGGUGGGCAUCUCUCUACGCGUGGAGGGUGUCCACUUCUCUGUGUCCUGGUUGGGUCGUUAAGCAGGUCACCUAAGCUCUCAGCCUCUGUUACUGUAACCGAAACAUGGAAAUGGGUUUUGUUACGUUGUGAAGAUGAGAGACGCUUAUUCGCUAAAUGCCCAGUUCAUAUUAAGUGACAGAGUUGAUUCCAGCAGGCCCGGGCCCCUGGGGAUCCCUGGCAGCAAAGGCUGCCUCACUGCCACCCAGUGUGCACCCGGCCUGCUUCCUCCCCGGCGCCCGCCCCACAUCUGUUCCUGUAUAAUCAGAGAAGCGCGGGCAAGUGCUUGCCCGACCUAAGGUGACUCACCCGAGGACUCUGACCUGCCCUCCUCUGCCACAUGCGUGUCCCAAACACCACCACAUGGGCACACGGCACCUGUGCAGACAACAGCAGGAAAUGGGGCCCACGGAACCUCCCUUCCCUGGGUUAGGCUUUGACGAGGUCUGGGGAGAAGGGGGUUGUUCCCCACUCCUCUUUGUGUCUAAAAGGAGCAGCUCUUCUGGCUGUUGGGCAGGGUGAUGGGGGAGGUGAGCCAACAUCCACCUACCGUGGGUCAUUUCCUGCUUUGGGCCUGAUGUCAUCGAGCGCGUUUGGGCCACUCUCACCCCGAAGGCACUUUGGGGUGACGAUGACAAAAUUCAGACUGGAGAGGGAAGGUGUGAGUUCCCUGUGGAAGGCUAGGCCUGUGUCUUACUAAAGGGCUCUGCCUGCCCUUCCCCCUCUCCUGCCUUCGCUGAGAGCCUCUUAGUGAAAGUGCCCUCUGAAUGCCUGGUACUGUGACGGUGGUAAUUACCGUUGGUUGAUGCGUUGCUAAGUGACGGAUGGGAUCUAGUUGAAAUAUAUUAGCUGGGGUCCCGAAAUUCUGAGAACAUCAGCUUCCUCUGUAGAAUAAUGAAAACCCAAGAACCAUCUCAGCAAUAAAAUUGUAUCCAUUAUCCUGGAACAGCCACACCCUAUUUGUUGGUGCCCUCAGAGAAGGCCCAAGGGAUGAGGCACCUCGAUCUCUCUUUCCCCUGAAACAUCUAAAAUAGCCUUGCCUGCUCCCUUGACCGUUUGCACACAUUUUCAGGUUUUUAAUAAAAGCAUCUCUUUAUGAAGAUGGAGGAAUUUUGCUUGAAGCAUUUGAGGUGCUUCCUUUUUAAAAAGGAACUUCC